AAGUCGUAACAAGGUCUCCGUAGGUGAACCUGCGGAGGGAUCAUUACCGAGUGAGGGCCUUUGGCUCGACCUCCAACCCUUCGUAAUUGAAACCUCGUUGCCUCGGGGUGGACCCGGCCUUCGGACUGGGGCCCCGCCGGUGUCGGUACACAAACUCUGCGUCUCUGCGUCUGAGUCUUAAAGUAAAAGAAUUAAAA
rnacentral:misc_RNA from 1 species